rnacentral:rRNA from 1 species
UACGAAGGGUGCAAGCGUUAAUCGGAAUUACUGGGCGUAAAGCGCGCGUAGGUGGUUCGUUAAGUUGGAUGUGAAAGCCCCGGGCUCAACCUGGGAACUGCAUCCAAAACUGGCGAGCUAGAGUACGGUAGAGGGUGGUGGAAUUUCCUGUGGUAGCGGUGAAAUGCGUAGAUAUAGGAAGGAACACCAGUGGCGAAGGCGGGUCUCUGGGCCGAUACUGACGCUGGAGGAGCGAAAGCAUGGGUAGCGAACAGG